rnacentral:rRNA from 1 species
GACGAACGCUGGCGGCGUGCUUAACACAUGCAAGUCGAACGGAAAGGCCCUGCUUUUGUGGGGUGCUCGAGUGGCGAACGGGUGAGUAACACGUGAGUAACCUGCCCUUGACUUUGGGAUAACUUCAGGAAACUGGGGCUAAUACCGGAUAGGAGCUCCUGCUGCAUGGUGGGGGUUGGAAAGUUUCGGCGGUUGGGGAUGGACUCGCGGCUUAUCAGCUUGUUGGUGGGGUAGUGGCUUACCAAGGCUUUGACGGGUAGCCGGCCUGAGAGGGUGACCGGCCACAUUGGGACUGAGAUACGGCCCAGACUCCUACGGGAGGCAGCGGUGGGGAAUAUUGCACAAUGGGCGGAGGCCUGAUGCAGCAACGCCGCGUGCGGGAUGACGGCCUUCGGGUUGUAAACCGCUUUCGCCUGUGACGAAGCGUGAGUGACGGUAAUGGGUAAAGAAGCACCGGCUAACUACGUG